GACGAACGCUGGCGGCGUGCUUAACACAUGCAAGUCGAACGGUAAGGCCCCUCGGGGUACACGAGUGGCGAACGGGUGAGUAACACGUGGGUGAUCUGCCCUGCACUUCGGGAUAAGCCUGGGAAACUGGGUCUAAUACCGGAUAGGACCACUGCCUGCAUGGGUGGGGGUGGAAAGCUUUUGCGGUGUGGGAUGGGCCCGCGGCCUAUCAGCUUGUUGGUGGGGUGAUGGCCUACCAAGGCGACGACGGGUAGCCGGCCUGAGAGGGUGACCGGCCACACUGGGACUGAGAUACGGCCCAGACUCCUACGGGAGGCAGCAGUGGGGAAUAUUGCACAAUGGGCGCAAGCCUGAUGCAGCGACGCCGCGUGAGGGAUGACGGCCUUCGGGUUGUAAACCUCUUUCAGCACCGACGAAGCGCAGGUGACGGUAGGUGCAGAAGAAGGACCGGCCAACUACGUGCCAGCCGCCGCCGUAA
rnacentral:rRNA from 1 species